rnacentral:lncRNA from 1 species
GAAGGUGAACACAAACUCGUAAAAAACAUAAACACCAAUAAAGCUACAGGACCAGAUACUAUCGCUGGCAAAAUACUGAGGGAAAACAUCGAAAUAACCUCAGACAUAAUUAGACUGGAACAAUGCAAACGUUACACCAGUAUAUAAAAAGGAGACAAACAUCAUCCUGGUAAUUAUAGAACAAUCUCACUAACCUGCAUCUCAUGUAAAUUACUUGAAAAUAUACUAGCUAGCAACAUGAUGAAACACCUCGAAUCGAAUAAUAUACUUUAUGAACUACAACACGGAUUUAGAGCAAAAAGCUCAUGCGAAUCUCAAGCAAUAUCUCUUAUACACCAACAGCUCAAAACAACAAUAAAAAUAUACAAAC